ACGUGCGAGUGGAACAAGGGGACUCGAUCAACGAGCUUCUGCCUCCGAUUGACUUCAUCGAAAUCGACCACUGUGUCGGGAACCAGCCGUGGAACGGCCUGGACAUGGCAGUGAAAUUCUACGAAGACUGUCUUAAUUUCCACCGUUACUGGAGUGUCGAUGACAAGUCCCUGUGCUCCGGAUAUUCCUCCAUGCGCUCCAUUGUUGUCGCGUCGCCCAAUGAGGUCAUAAAAAUGCCCCUAAACGAGCCAGCAGUGGGCAAGAAGAAGUCCCAAAUCGAAGAAUUCGUCGACUACUAC
rnacentral:sRNA from 2 species